rnacentral:rRNA from 1 species
AGUGAACGCUGGCGGUAGGCCUAACACAUGCAAGUCGAACGGCAGCACAGUAAGAGCUUGCUCUUACGGGUGGCGAGUGGCGGACGGGUGAGGAAUACAUCGGAAUCUACUUUUUCGUGGGGGAUAACGUAGGGAAACUUACGCUAAUACCGCAUACGACCUACGGGUGAAAGCAGGGGAUCUUCGGACCUUGCGCGAUUGAAUGAGCCGAUGUCGGAUUAGCUAGUUGGCGGGGUAAGGGCCCACCAAGGCGACGAUCCGUAGCUGGUCUGAGAGGAUGAUCAGCCACAUUGGAACUGAGACACGGUCCAGACUCCGACGGGAGGCAGCAGUGGGGAAGAUUGGACAAUGGGCGCAAGCCUGAUCCAGCCAUACCGCGUGGGUGAAGAAGGCCUUCGGGUUGUAAAGCCCUUUUGUUGGGAAAGAAAAGCAGCAGGUUAAUACCCCGCUGUUCUGACGGUACCCAAAGAAGAAGCACCGGCUAACUUCGUG